rnacentral:tRNA from 1 species
GGCCCCAUCGUCUAGCGGUUAGGACGCUGCCCUCUCAAGGCAGAAACACGGGUUCGAUUCCCGUUGGGGCUACCA